rnacentral:misc_RNA from 1 species
GAUGAAGAACGCAGCGAAAUGCGAAAAGUAAUGUGAAUUGCAGAAUUCAGUGAAUCAUCGAAUCUUUGAACGCACAUUGCGCCCCCUGGUAUUCCGGGGGGCAUGCCUGUUCGAGCGUCAUUUCACCACUCAAGCCUCGCUUGGUAUUGGGCAACGCGGUCCGCCGCGUGCCUCAAAUCGACCGGCUGGGUCUUCUGUCCCCUAAGCGUUGUGGAAACUAUUCGCUAAAGGGUGCUCGGGAGGCUACGCCGUAAAACAAACCCAUUUCUAAGGUUGACCUCGGAUCAGGUAGGGAUACCCGCUGAACUUAAGCAUAUCAAUAAGCGGAGGA